rnacentral:misc_RNA from 1 species
GAAAUGCGAUAAGUAGUGUGAAUUGCAGAAUUCAGUGAAUCAUCGAAUCUUUGAACGCACAUUGCGCCCUUUGGUAUUCCAAAGGGCAUGCCUGUUCGAGCGUCAUUUGUACCCUCAAGCUUUGCUUGGUGUUGGGCGUCUUGUCUCUAGCUUUGCUGGAGACUCGCCUUAAAGUAAUUGGCAGCCGGCCUACUGGUUUCGGAGCGCAGCACAAGUCACACUCUCUAUCAGCAAAGGUCUAGCAUCCAUUAAGCCUUUUUUUCAACUUUUGACCUCGGAUCAGGUAGGGAUACCCGCUGAACUUAAGC